GGCAAGAGCUGUAGCGAUACAGAAUCUGCUAGUGGCAGACGGGUGAGUAAUACAUGGGAAUCUACCUUGCAGUGCGAAAUAACAGUUGGAAGCAAUUGCUAAUGUCGCAUAUAGCCGAGAGGUGAAAGAUUUAUCGCUGCAAGACGAGCCCAUGCAGGAUUAGCUAGUUGGUGGGGUAAUGGCUCACCAAGGCAACGAUCUUUAGUUGGUCUGAGAGGAUGAUCAGCCACGCUGGAACUGAGACACGGUCCAGACUCCUACGGGAGGCAGCAGUGGGGAAUAUUGGACAAUGGGCGUAAGCCUGAUCCAGCGACGCCGCGUGAGUGAAGAAGGCCUUCGGGUUGUAAAGUUCUUUUAGUGGGGAAGAUAAUGACGGUACCCACAGAAAAAGCCCCGGCUAACUUCGUGCCAGCAGCCGCGGUAAUACGAAGGGGGCUAGCGUUACUCGGAAUUAUUGGGCGUAAAGCGUGCGUAGGCUGCUUAGUAAGUCAAAAGUGAAAGCCUUGGGCUCGACCUAAGAAUUGCUUUUGAAACUACUAAGCUUGAGUACUGUAGGGGGUAGCGGAAUUCCUAGUGUAGGGGUGAAAUUCGUAGAUAUUAGGAGGAACACCGGAGGCGAAAGCGGUUAUCUGGACAGUCACUGACGCUGUUGCACGAAAGCGUGGGGAGCGGACAGGAUUAGAUACCCUGGUAGUCCACGCAGUAAACGAUGAGUGCUAGAUGUUGGGGUUUAAGUCUCAGUGUCGCAGCUAACGCAUUAAGCACUCCGCCUGGGGAGUACGGUCGCAAGAUUAAAACUCAAAGGAAUUGACGGGGACCCGCACAAGCGGUGGAACAUGUGGUUUAAUUCGAUGCUACGCGAAAACCUUACCAGGCCUUGACAUGGUGAUCAUAUGGCUGCGAAAG
rnacentral:rRNA from 1 species